UACGUAGGGUGCAAGCGUUAAUCGGAAUUACUGGGCGUAAAGCGUGCGCAGGCGGUUUUGUAAGUCUGUCGUGAAAUCCCCGGGCUCAACCUGGGAAUUGCAUUCGAGACUGAAUAGCUAGGGUACGGUAGAGGGAAGCGGAAUUUCCGGUGUAGCGGUGAAAUGCGUAGAUAUCGGAAGGAACAUCAGUGGCGAAAGCGGCUUCCUGGACCAGUACCGACGUCAGGCACGAAAGCGUGGGGAGCAAACAGGA
rnacentral:rRNA from 1 species